rnacentral:rRNA from 1 species
UACGUAGGGGGCAAGCGUUGUCCGGAUUUAUUGGGCGUAAAGCGCGUGUAGGCGGCCAGGUAGGUCCGCUGUGAAAACCCGAGGCUCAACCUCGGGACGUCGGCGGAAACCAUCUGGCUAGAGUCCGGAAGAGGAGAGUGGAAUUCCUGGUGUAGCGGUGAAAUGCGCAGAUAUCAGGAAGAACACCCGUGGCGAAAGCGGCUCUCUGGGACGGUACUGACGCUGAGACGCGAAAGCCGUGGGGGAGCAAACAGG